AUUGAACGCUGGCGGCAUGCCUUACACAUGCAAGUCGAACGGUAACAGGGAGCUUGCUCCGCUGACGAGUGGCGAACGGGUGAGUAAUGCGUCGGAACGUGCCGAGUAGUGGGGGAUAACGCAUCGAAAGGUGUGCUAAUACCGCAUACGUACUGAGGUAGAAAGUGGGGGACCUUCGGGCCUCACGCUAUUCGAGCGGCCGACGUCUGAUUAGCUAGUUGGUGAGGUAAAGGCUCACCAAGGCGACGAUCAGUAGCGGGUCUGGGAGGAUGCUCCGCCGAACUGGGACUGAGACGCGGCCCAGACUCCUCCGGGAGGCAGCAGGGGGGAAUUUUGGACAAUGGGCGCAAGCCUGAUCCAGCCAUGCCGCGUGUCUGAAGAAGGCCUUCGGGUUGUAAAGGACUUUUGUCCGGGAGCAAAUGCCUGGUGUUAAUAGCAUCGGGAGCUGAGAGUACCGGAAGAAUAAGCACCGGCUAACUACGUGCCAGCAGCCGCCGCAGUAA
rnacentral:rRNA from 1 species